GACGAACGCUGGCGGCGUGCUUAACACAUGCAAGUCGAACGGAAAGGCCUCUUUCGGGGGGUACUCGAGUGGCGAACGGGUGAGUAACACGUGAGUAACCUGCCCUUGACUUUGGGAUAACUUCAGGAAACUGGGGCUAAUACCGGAUAGGAGCUCCUGCUGCAUGGUGGGGGUUGGAAAGUUUCGGCGGUUGGGGAUGGACUGGCGGCGUAUCAGCUUGUUGGGGGGGUAGUGGCUUACCAAGGCUUUGACGGGUAGCCGGCCUGUGAGGGUGACCGGCCACAUUGGGACUGAGAUACGGCCCAGACUCCUACGGGAGGCAGCAGGGGGGAAGAUUGCACAAUGGGUGGAAGCCUGAUGCAGCAACGCCGUGUGCGGGAUGACGGCCUUCGGGUUGUAAACCGCUUUCGCUCAUGACGAAGCUUUGUGUGACGGUAGUGGGUAAAGAAGCACCGGCUAACUACGUG
rnacentral:rRNA from 1 species